rnacentral:rRNA from 1 species
UACGUAGGCAGCAAGCGUUGUUCGGAAUCACUGGGCGUAAAGCGCACGUAGGCGGACUCUUAAGUCGGUGGUGAAAUCCUGGAGCUCAACUCCAGAACUGCCUUCGAUACUGGGAGUCUUGAGUCCGGGAGAGGUGAGUGGAACUGCGAGUGUAGAGGUGAAAUUCGUAGAUAUUGGGAAGAACACCGGUGGCGAAGGCGGCUCACUGGCUCGUAACUGACGCUCAGGCGCGACAGCGUGGGGAUCAAACAGG